rnacentral:tRNA from 1 species
UGUUGGGUAGACAAGUGGUAAGUCAACAGGCCUUGAACCUGUCCAGCGUUGGUUCGAAUCCAACCCCAACAACCA